UACGGAGGGUGCAAGCGUUAAUCGGAAUUACUGGGCGUAAAGCGUGCGCAGGCGGUUUGUUAAGUCCGUUGUGAAAGCCCCGAGCUCAACUUGGGAAUUGCAGUGGAUACUGGCAGGCUGGAGUACGGUAGAGGAAGGUGGAAUUCCCGGUGUAGCAGUGAAAUGCGUAGAUAUCGGGAAGAACAUCAGUGGCGAAGGCGGCCUGCUGGGCUGUUGCUGACGCUGAGGCGCGACAGCGUGGGGAGCAAACAGG
rnacentral:rRNA from 1 species